AUUAUAGCAUCUGUGCUCGUGUAAGGUACAGAUGCUACUAUGCUCAUCACUAUCACUACUAUUUCUACUACCAUCAUGGGUACCGCUGCGCACGCUACUGGCGUACCUACCACUGCAGGCGAUGCCAGCACUACUGAGAAGCAGCAGCGCCCAGGGAUCACAGUGCUGGAGUUUACCUGACAGCAGACCUGCAAGCAAAGCUUAAACACACCAGCAACCUUCUUUUGUAGCAUGGCUGUAACCUUUCUGUUGUGGUCCCUCUCCAAACACACAGCUACAGCACCCAUAUUUAUUUCUAUCAGGCCAUUCCCAGUUUGUUUAAAACAGCUGCUCUCUGUUGUGCAUUUGGUCAAUCUCUUCAAGGAUAUAUAAUAUGGAAAGUAUGGAAAGGUGUCCUUAUUUAACAUGUAGUCUCAGAUUCUCAGUGAGAUCACAUGCUCACACAUGUUUGAAUAGAAACACAGCUGCACAUGGGCACAUAUACAAAGCGUUACUUGGAGAGCGUGCUUGAUUGAUUUGCCCCAGCUCAUAAUCACUGCACCGAGUCAGGUUUGACCAGUAGACUCCUUUCUUCUCCCAGCUCCUCACAGCCACCCUGUGAUGUCACAAGUGACCCGUGACAGGCCUUGUUCACAGACUGACAAAAACAUUGUGUUUAUAUAGAGAUUUUCUUCAUCUCUCAAUUAUUUAAAAAUCUCUUUAUUUGCAUUCAUGACAACAAAUGCUCCAACUGUUGACCAGUAUAAAUGCUGUCCUGCCAAAACAACACUAUCUGCUGUUACAUGAAACUGGGUAAAAGCCUGUCUCUUUCUGUAAAGCUUUUUAAGCAAUAAAACUAUUAGCAUCAAUGUCUCGUUUUGGACUGGUUUAUUUCACAUGACAUGUAUUCUUGUCAAACUGCCACCACUGAAAUCAUUCAAAAAGCACUUUUUUAUUGACAACAAAGAACUCUUAACAGGCA